AAUCUAUCAAAUAAUUCUUUUCGGACAACUAAACUGAGAAAUACGGUAAAUCGUUUACCGUCUUUAAAAAAAUGGUGAAUGAUUCUCCGUUUUCAUAGUGUUAUUAUUUUUUUUUUUAUAUGUUGUGAGAAUUUUUUUUUUAGGUUGUUAAGAUUGUACAAGUAUUAUCAAAUUUUUAUUUAUAAUUAAAAUUAUAGAGAUAGAGUGUUAAGAUAUUUUAAAUUGUAAGGGUUAUAUGUGAUUUGCUGAAAUCUUUAUAUAGUUGUUAAAAUUAUAUAUAAAAAUAAAAAAAUAAUAAAUUAUUCAUCUUUGAUGCUUUAAGAAAAAGACGGUGAAUCAUUUACCUCCUCUAGUAGAAAAGAAAAAAGACGGUGAAAUUUACCAUCUUCUGAAUUUCAUUUAAAACGGUAAAUGAUUAACUGUUUUUUAAUUAUUUUUCUAACCCAACAAUGAGUUGGAUAAAAUAGGGUUAUUUUAAUAAAUAAAUUGUUUAGAAGAUUAUUUAGCUAAUUCUAAAUUUUUAAAGGGUUAAAAUGAAAAAAAUCCCCUCAAAUUUGUUAUAAUUUUUAUCUCAAAUUCUUCAAAAUUGCAAAUAAGACCAAUAACCGAAUUUCGUUGUCUACAUGGGGAGUGCUAUAGCAACUUAAUAAUUAUCACAUUAUCGAUCAUAAUACUUUUAUAUUAUUUUUAUAUUAAUAAUUUAUUAAUAUAUAGCCAACUAAAUUAGGUAGCUGGACUUAAUUGUAACAAUUCAAAAAGUCCCAAAUUUUCUAAAGUUCAUUAAAUAAUAGGAAAAACUAUAAAUACCACCCCUGUGGUUUUGUACUUUCUCACUUUAAUACCCUGUGGUUUAAAGUGUAUUACUUUCGUACCAUGUGAUUUUAUUUUUCUCUUUUUGUUAUCCCCUUCACUAAUUUUUUCUUUAAAUCAGUGAUAAAGUUAAAACUAAAUGAUACUAAAGUAGAUAUUCGAUAAAUUAUAGGUGGGACAUCUGAAGUUUUUCAUAUAUGAUUUAACGAAAAGUUAAUAAAAAGGCCGGAGAAAAGAAAAAAAAUGAAACCACAAAGUAUUAAAUUGAUACAUUUUAAAUCAUGUGGUACUAAAGUGAGAUAGUGCAAAACUAUAGGGGUGGUAUUUAAAGUUUACCCUAUUGCACAUUUGCAUGACAUGAUUUUUUUUCUUUUUUAAUUAUGAUAAUAAUUAAGUGUUAGUUUUGAAGAUAGAGUGAAUCCACCUAUCUAUUAUCUAUUAUCUAUUAUCUAUUAUUGAUUAUCGAUUACUUUACAUUAUUUCUAAAAAAACUUGCCACAUGGCAACACAAGCUUCAAUGUUGUUAGGUGUGGGCUCCACCGGUUCUUUUCCUUUAGUUGAACCGAACCGAAUUGUUGAGUAUGAGUCCCAUCCUGAAUCGGCUCAAGUCCUCCAAAUAAUUUCAUCUUUUUUUGCUUGAACCAAACAUGGUUGAGUGAGGCCUCUACACUAAACCGGCUCAUGUUUCCUGUUUUUUGUUUGCCUGAAUCAAACCGGUGCCCUCUUUCUUUGCUUGAACCAGUCUACUUUAUUAGACCGAACCAGACCAAUUGAUUCAUAUCAUUCAUUAUUCGGCCAACUUGCAUUACAUGUUAAACAAUUAUAAUAAUUCGAAAAAAAAAACUUCAAUUAUCAAUCAUAUAUAUAUUAUUUUAUUUUAUUUUAUUUAUUUAUUCAUUUAUACAUU
rnacentral:lncRNA from 1 species